rnacentral:rRNA from 1 species
UACGUAGGGUCCGAGCGUUGUCCGGAAUUAUUGGGCGUAAAGGGCUCGUAGGCGGUUUGUCGCGUCGGGAGUGAAAACCUACAGCUUAACUGUGGGCUUGCUUUCGAUACGGGCAGACUUGAGGCAUGCAGGGGAGAACGGAAUUCCUGGUGUAGCGGUGGAAAUGCGCAGAUAUCAGGAGGAACACCGGUGGCGAAGGCGGUCUCUGGGCAUGUUCUGACGCUGAGGAGCGAAAGUGUGGGGAGCGAACAGG